AUUGAACGCUGGCGGCAGGCCUAACACAUGCAAGUCGAACGAGUGGCGGACGGGUGAGUAAUGUCUGGGAAACUGCCUGAUGGAGGGGGAUAACUACUGGAAACGGUAGCUAAUACCGCAUACCCUCGGAUGUGCCCAGAUGGGAUUAGCUAGUAGGUGGGGUAACGGCUCACCUAGGCGACGCUCCCUAGAUGGUCUGAGAGGAUGACAAGCCACACUGUAACGUGGACACGGCCCAUACUCCUACGGGAGGCAGCAGUGGGGAAUAUUGCACAAUGGGCGAAAGUCUGAUGCAGCCAUGCCGCGUGUAUGAAGAAGGCCUUCGGGUUGUAAAGUACUUUCAUCGUGGAGGCGUUACCCGCAGAAGAAGCCCCGGCUAACUCCGUGCCAGCAGCCGCGGUAAUUC
rnacentral:rRNA from 1 species